rnacentral:lncRNA from 1 species
UUUUAGUUAAAUAGAUAUGUUUAGCUUUAUACUGUAAAGGAAAAGUCUUUUAUGUGUUUCAGAAGACUUCUAAUGGUUAUCGUUUCCACUUUUAGAUGACGUUCUUUCCCAAAUGUGUGGUUGUAAUCCAACAAUAGAAGAUCCAGUUUGUUCAAGGUCUGGUGUGACUUUCCAAAAUAUAUGUUUCUUAAGAUGCAGGUAAACAUGUUGUACAACGUAAUUAUCAUAGAUACCAGGAUUAUGAUUUAAUACGUCAGACGCGCGUAUCGUCUACAUAAGACUCAUCAGUGACGCUCAGAUAAAAACAGUAAAAAAGCCAUACCAAUACAAGGUUGAAGAGCAUUGGGAACCCAAAAUUCCCCCCCAAAAAAUGCCAAAUCCGGCUAAAGUAUUCUACUCCUGGGAUAGAUCCUUAAGUUUUUGAACCAAAACGAACAAUUCAUCUGUAAUAUUUUGAAACAAAUCACAUAAUUUAUAUAAAUAAAUUGAAAUCACUGCUCAAUUGAAAUUGUCUCCUUUGAACUGGUCUAGUAGGCUUAACAAAUUUGCAAACUAAUAUGCUGAGCUGGCACAUUUAAAAUCUAGCGGAUGAUUAUCAAACAAUGAAUUGGACAUACAAAACUGUCCUAGAUUCUUUUUUUUAAUUUCCAAGUAUUGGUUUAUAACAGUUAAAACCUUAUUGUGCCUGAAGUGCUUCAAUACAGUUUUCCAUUAAUGCGAGUUGCCAAAUAUUGGUAAAGGAUCAAAAGUAUAGCCAAAUACAGAGGAUGAAUUAAAGCGUUUUUUAAGUAAUACAUUCUAUAAUUCAAUGAUUUCAAUAGUUUAACCACUACAUAUUUCUGUCUUCAAUAUACGUAUUUUCUUGCAAAUAUCGAAGCAUUUCACUACCAAGAUUGUGAUACCCUCUGGGGACUACUAAUUAAACAGCAGAGGUAUACCGACCCAGUUACAACAAAGGCAAAUCACGGUAUCAUGUUUACUGCACUUGAAACACUUAUAAUGGCUCUUGAGUGAUACUCGGAGCAACAACAAAAAACGUUGGAAAGCUGAUAUGACAAAAAGUACAACAAUAAACACAUAACGUUCGGUUCUUAUACUACAUUGGCAUUCAUUUUUUGGGCUUUGAGCGUUCCUGGUGAAGGUAAAACUUGAAAAAGACUUCAGACGCAUGAAAUUUACUUUUGUUGUGUUUACUGUUCUUGAGAUCAAUUCUUACCUAAAUCUUUAAGACAUGCAUUAGGAAGAGAAUACAUGAGGGAAAUAUGUUCUUAUUAUUUUAUUUUUUUUUUACAAAUUGAUACACUAUAUUCCCAUUGGGUUAUUUGCUUUUCCUAUACGUUUUUACAAACAAUCACCGUUAGGUAACGUAAGUUGUUGAUAUCAUGGAUUUGGUUUUUAAUGGAAUUUUGCAUGUGACUGUUACCCGAAGUCCUCCAUAUGAAUACCAUAGAAAUAAAGGUAACAGUUACCAAAGAGACUUUCGAAUAUAAAUAUAUGAAAAUAACUGUUACAUAUUUUAACGUUCAAAUAUUUAACACAUAAAGAAUCCUUUAAAUAGAGUAAUGCAUUGUACUAUUUAUGUAGAUAUCUGAACUAGUUCAAAUAUUUUGAAAUAUUGCUUCUUGAAAACCUGUCCACAGAAGUCUUGAAAUUAAUCGGUUCCAUUUUACAAAUAAAUGUUGGUAAGGAGUAAAUAGUUGAAUUUUCUGGACACUGUAAAUAUAGCGAUGAAAAGGCAAAAACACCACAUGGUGAAUGCUGUGUCCAAAGAAUCUUUUUUUGGGGGGCAUUGUUUAACAUAUUACAUAUUCACUUACAUUUAUACUAGGAAAUCGAUAUUACAGUAAAAACGAAUUAGAUGACAUUUAUAAAAACUUAUCGAAGCUAUGUUGUAUCAAUAAAAUAGCUAUGUUAGUGGCAAUCAGAAUUGUCAAUGUUAUACAAUUCCAUAAUACUUGCAGGUAUAUUUAUGUAUUUUACAUUACAUCUGUGAUGUGACGAAUAUUAUUAUUAACAAGUUAUUGCGGGUUGAUUAUUUGAAGGAAAAUUUGUAUUGUUGGUUCCUUAUUAUUUGUGGGGUGCCAACUUUGAUUUCGUGAGAAUAGGUUAACCUCGAUUUUUUUGUUUUCAAUGAUAUAAUAUUCCCCUUAAGGUCUGUGUGUAAUGUCUGACAAAACACGAAAUCAAAUAUCUAUGAAUUAACUAUAUUGCUGAGUCAACAGAUUGUAUACAAAGCUAACAGAUAAUAUUGAAGCUCUUUUGAAUUUAAUAUGGGCAAGAGUUGAAUGAUUUUCAUAACUAUAGCCAAUGACAGAUGUCGAAGUGAUACGUCAUUAAUUCUUUUUUACAGGGGCUAUUAUUUUAGUUGCUACGGUCAUUGUCCAUGUAUAUUUUAACAUGUAUCAGACAAAGGUAGGUAGUAAUGAAACAUAAUUAAGUCUUAGAACUGAACUUAAAAUUGAUUAACGAUACAUAAAAUUGAGAAAAGUAACGGGGAAUGUGUCAACCAACGAGCAGACAACAGCCCAAAGACACCAAAUAGUCUGCAACACAGAGAGACAAUCCUGUAUCCGGAUCUCGAGGCGGGCUUCAGCUGGCCCUUAACAAAAAUAUGCACUAGUUCAGCAAAAUUUAAAAAAUAAGUCACAGCAAAAUAAGAAAUAUAGAGAUAAGAACUGACCAUAAUAUUUAAAUAAGGUCAAUUCAAAUAAUUCGUGCUAUACUGUUGGCAGUUGUAGGAAUAUAAGAUAUUGUCAUUCGCGGUUCGCUUUUAGUGCAGUAAUGUUUUUCACCCUCCCACCCGAAUAAAUGUAUUUUUCUUGUGUCUUUUUGAUGAAUGUGAAUAAUAAUGUGUGUAAGUAAAGGCAACAGUAGUAUAAGAACAGAAUAUUUAAUUUGAUUUAUAUGUAUUUGCAUACAUAAUGAAAAUUGCUUUUAUUUUUGUAGAUUUGGUUUUUGGGUUUGUAACCUGUAGCGGUUUCGAGAUGAACUUUAUGUUGCAUUUGUCUUUAAUAAAAUUAAAAUUUUGCAACACUUUCAGGCGAGCUGAUCCCAUACAAAGGUGUUGAGUUUAUUUUGUACAUAAUUUAUUUGAACCUGAAAAAGAGUGAAAAACCCAG